rnacentral:tRNA from 1 species
GCCCGGCUAGCUCAGUCAGUAGAGUAUGGGAUUCUUAAUUCCAGGGUCAUAGGUUCGUGCCCCACGUUGAGCG